UACGGAGGAUGCGAGCGUUAUCCGGAUUUAUUGGGUUUAAAGGGUGCGUAGGCGGGAUGCCAAGUCAGCGGUAAAAAUGCGGUGCUCAAUGCCGUCGAGCCGUUGAAACUGGCGUUCUUGAGUGGGCGAGAAGUAUGCGGAAUGCGUGGUGUAGCGGUGAAAUGCAUAGAUAUCACGCAGAACUCCGAUUGCGAAGGCAGCAUACCGGCGCCCUACUGACGCUGAGGCACGAAAGCGUGGGUAUCGAACAGG
rnacentral:rRNA from 1 species